GUUGACUUCCUCAACACUAGGGGGUGUCAGAGAAGCACCGGAUCACAUGCUUCACAUGUCACGAGCACGAGCUGCGAGAGGAGGGAGGGAUGCCAACACAUGGCUAACACCAGUCUGCGAUAUAGUCAAAGUCUGCAAACAGGUCCUGCUGGUGCGGGGUCAAGGGCCGGGGUUCUCUGGGUGGUGUGAGCACCGGAGCCUCUGAGGUCAGACUGAACAAUGAUGCUAUUCCUGUCGUUUCGGUAGUCAAAUGAGGUCAAAGUGCCCUGCAGAAGAAGAAAAAAAGCCUUUCAGCUGCCGCUGUUUAUACAAGAUGAUAUUAUCACUGGAUAACGGUUAUCUUUAUGCUAAUAAAGGUAACGACGAAGGCAUUUCCUUUUCCUUUCAAGUGCAAGGGGGCAGAUGAAAGACUAAACACGAAUUACACGUUUAAAGAAGUCUUUAACUGUUCUUUUCUAGGAAACAGAAGACAUCAAUGCAGAUGCCUGGGCAGCUUAUCUCUACGUUGUAG